UACGGGGGGGGCAAGCGUUGUUCGGAAUUACUGGGCGUAAAGGGCUUGUAGGUGGCCAACUAAGUCAGACGUGAAAUCCCUCGGCUUAACCGGGGAACUGCGUCUGAUACUGGAUGGCUUGAGUUUGGGAGAGGGAUGCGGAAUUCCAGGUGUAGCGGUGAAAUGCGUAGAUAUCUGGAGGAACACCGGUGGUGUAGACGGCUUACUGGACCAUAACUGACGCUGAGACACGAAAGCGUGGGUAGCAAACAGG
rnacentral:rRNA from 1 species